GAGUUUGAUCCUGGCUCAGAACGAACGCUGGCGGCAGGCUUAACACAUGCAAGUCGAACGCGUGUAGCAAUACACGAGUGGCGCACGGGUGAGUAACACGUGGAUAUCUGCCUUUUGGUUCGGGAUAACCCUGGGAAACUAGGGCUAAUACCGAAUGGUUCCUACGGGAUAAAGAUUUAUCGCCAAAAGAUGAGUCCGCGUCCGAUUAGCUAGUUGGUGAGGUAAUGGCUCACCAAGGCGACGAUCGGUAGCUGGUCUGAGAGGACGAUCAGCCACACUGGGACUGAGACACGGCCCAGACUCCUACGGGAGGCAGCAGUGGGAAUA
rnacentral:rRNA from 1 species